rnacentral:rRNA from 1 species
CUACGGGUCGCAGCAGUGAGGAAUUUUGGGCAAUGGGGGCAACCCUGACCCAGCGACGCCGCGUGCAGGAUGACAGCCCUUCGGGUUGUAAACUGCUUUCGGAUGGGAAGAAAAGGGAGGUAUCCUCCCCGAGACUGUACCAUCAGAAGAAGCACCGGCAAACUACGUGCCAGCAGCCGCGGUAAUACGUAGGGUGCGAGCGUUAUCCGGAAUUACUGGGUAUAAAGGGUGUGUAGGCGGGCUUGUGCGUCGAUGGUUAAAGACCCGGGCUUAACUCGGGGAAUGCCUUCGAUACGGGCAGUCUUGAAUGUGAGAGAGGAUGAUGGAAUUCCUGGUGUAGCGGUGAAAUGCGUAGAUAUCAGGAGGAACACCGGUAGCGAAGGCGGUCAUCCGGCUCAUUAUUGACGCUGAGGCACGAAAGCGUGGGGAGCGAACAGGAUUAGAUACCCCGUAGUC